AGAGUUUGAUCCUGGCUCAGGGUGAACGCUGGCGGUGUGGAUAAGGCAUGCAAGUCGAAUGCAUUUAGUUGCAUGGCAGACGAGGUAGUAACACGUAGGUACAUCCCCCAGAGUCGAGCAUAACCCGGAGAAAUCCGGAAUAAUUCUCGAUAGUCUCUUCGGAGUAAAGAUUUAUCGCUUUGGGAAUGGCCUGCGGAGUAUCAGCUUGUUGGUAGUGUAAUGGACUACCAAGGCUACGACGCUUAGGGGAGGUGAGAGCCUGACCCCCACCGAUGGAACUGAGACACGGUCCAUACUCCUACGGGAGGCCGCAGUCGAGAAUCUUCCGCAAUGGACGAAAGUCUGACGGAGCGACACCGCGUGGUGGAUGAAGCCCUUUGGGGCGUAAACACCUUUUCUGGAGGAGGAAGUUUAUUGACGUUACUCCAGGAAUAAGGGGCUCCUAAACAUGUGCCAGCAGGAGCGGUAAUACAUGUGCCCCAAGCGUUACCCGGAUUUAUUGGGCGUAAAGGGUGUGUAGGCGGUUAUAUUAGUCUUGCGUUAAAGCCUCGGGCUCAACCCGAGAUCUGCGUAGGAAACGGUAUAACUAGAGGAAGCAAGGGGUUCAUGGAACUCAUGGUGUAGGGGUGAAAUCCGUUGAUAUCAUGGGGAACACCGAAAGCGAAGGCAGUGAACUGGUGCUUUCCUGACGCUGAGACACGAAAGCCAGGGUAGCGAAUGGGAUUAGAUACCCCAGUAGUCCUGGCCCUAAACGAUGAUUGUUGGUUUUUCGGAGUAUCGACCCUCUGAGAGGCGAAGCUAACGCGUUAAACAAUCCGCCUGGGUAGUACGGCCGCAAGGCUAAAACUCAAAGGAAUAGACGGGGGCUCGCACAAGCGGUGGAUCAUGUGGUUUAAUUCGUCGAUAAGCGAAGAACCUUACCAAGGCUAGAAACUCUGUAGAAAGCUCUAAGAAACUAGAGCCCUCUUCGGACUGCAGAGCAGGUGAUGCAUGGCCGUCGUCAGUUCGUGAUUUGAAUUGUUCCCUUAAGUGGGGUAACGAACGCAACCCUCGUUGUCUGUUAUAUUUGUCAGGCGAGACUGCUCCCUCACGGGAGAGGAAGGUGAGGAUGACGCCAGGUCAGCAUGUCCCUUGAUGCCUUGGGCUACACACGUGAUACAAUGGCCACUACAACGAGACGCAAUACCGAGAGGUGGAGCAAAUCUUUAUAAAGGUGGCCCCAGUUCGGAUUGAGGUCUGCAACUCGACCUCAUGAAGUUGGAAUCGCUAGUAAUCGCAGGUCAGCAACACUGCGGUGAAUACGUUCUCGAGCCUUGUACUCACCGCCCGUCAAGUCAGGGAAGCUGGGAGUACCCGAAGUCCGUCUUUAUGGCGGCCGAAGGUAAAUUCAGUAACAAGGACUAAGUCGUAACAAGGUAACC
rnacentral:rRNA from 1 species